CGAAUGCUGACAUAAGUAACGAUAAAGCGGGUGAAAAGCCCGCUCGCCGGAAGACCAAGGGUUCCUGUCCAACGUUAAUCGGGGCAGGGUGAGUCGACCCCUAAGGCGAGGCCGAAAGGCGUAGUCGAUGGGAAACAGGUUAAUAUUCCUGUACUUGGUGUUACUGCGAAGGGGGGACGGAGAAGGCUAUGUUGGCCGGGCGACGGUUGUCCCGGUUUAAGCGUGUAGGCUGGUUUUCCAGGCAAAUCCGGAAAAUCAAGGCUGAGGCGUGAUGACGAGGCACUACGGUGCUGAAGCAACAAAUGCCCUGCUUCCAGGAAAAGCCUCUAAGCAUCAGGUAACAUCAAAUCGUACCCCAAACCGACACAGGUGGUCAGGUAGAGAAUACCAAGGCGCUUGAGAGAACUCGGGUGAAGGAACUAGGCAAAAUGGUGCCGUAACUUCGGGAGAAGGCACGCUGAUAUGUAGGUGAAGUCCCUCGCGGAUGGAGCUGAAAUCAGUCGAAGAUACCAGCUGGCUGCAACUGUUUAU
rnacentral:rRNA from 1 species